rnacentral:pre_miRNA from 1 species
UGCCUCUAUCUUUGUGUAUUUCUGAUAUGUGACUCUAUCUUUGAGAUAGAGGCACAUGUCAGAAAUACACAAAGAUAGAGGCA